rnacentral:lncRNA from 1 species
AAAAUAAGAAUAUGAGUCCUAUUUUUAUAGAACACAACUUCAAUUUUAUUUUUUAUUGGAUUCUCUUUCUUAAUUAUUAAAUAAAUAAAAAAUAAAAAACCAUUUCACGGCUAGUAACUAUGAAAAGAAAAAUAAUUUGAAAAUAUGCAUCUUUCUUUACAGAAUUGGCCAAAACAUCAAUUAAAUUAUAAUUAGUUUGUUAUAUAUCAUGCACAAAUAAAGUGACAAGGAUUUAUUAAUGUUGUAGCUUUC